rnacentral:lncRNA from 1 species
GAAACCUGAGCAGCACUGACUUCUGAGGACGACUGAGAUGGAGACAACCCCCAGUGUCCUGUCACUCCUGCAGUCUGAACUUCCAAACAGUCCACCUCCUUUGGUUUAAGAAGUCUUUGUAAAGGGAGAUGACCCAGACAGUGAAGUACUACUUGCCAUACAAACAAGAGGAUCUGAGUUCAAACUGAACUCAUGACGAUAAAGAAAAAAGCUCUGACUCAUGGCCUGCAACCUCAGGGACAAGGAAGCAGACAGAAGGAGCCCAGCCAGUCUAGCAAAACAACAAGCUCAAGGUCCAGGCCUACAAACAGAAGUGAAGCAGUGGUGGGCGGCGUCAAUAAAGGUAGCAGAGGAAAGAAAGAAAGAAAGGAACCACAGGCUACUGAAGUGUCACAUUAAAUGUCAUGGGGACUGUGCU